UACGUAGGGUGCAAGCGUUGUCCGGAAUUAUUGGGCGUAAAGAGCUCGUAGGCGGUUUGUCGCGUCGGGAGUGAAAACACCGGGCUUAACUCGGUGCUUGCUUUCGAUACGGGCAGACUAGAGGUAUGCAGGGGAGAACGGAAUUCCUGGUGUAGCGGUGAAAUGCGCAGAUAUCAGGAGGAACACCAGUGGCGAAGGCGGCUCACUGGCCCGAUACUGACGCUGAGGCACGAAAGCGUGGGGAGCAAACAGG
rnacentral:rRNA from 1 species